CAUUGAUGGACACUUAGUAAGGAGGGGUGGGGCGGGUGAGUCGGCCUCGCCAGUGCGCAUGCGCGAGGCCCCAGCCGCCGCUUUGGUCACAGUGACCGCCACCGUUGCCGGGGGAUGGGUCCCUGAGACUUGGCGAAGUAGGAGCCCUGUGUGAUUGUGCGUCAGAGUCGGGGCUGACACCAGUCCUGGCCAGGGCACUUACCAGGACGGUCUCCGGAGGCCGGGAUUCGCGGAGGGUCCACCAGCAGUAAGAAACGCCAGGAGGAAGAAACCUCAGACAGAUCGCCGGGGACGCAGCGCGGGAUCCCAGCCUCAGGCGUGCACGGACGGUGUGCGGGUGAGUCUCCCCAAAAGUGGCGCCCUUGUGAUGUGGAGGACAGGUCUGCCAGGGUGUCCGUGGGCUGCUGUCUCACCGGUGGCCUCUUAGUCGCGGAGAGCAGAACCCGGCAGCUUCAGGGGCAGCCUGGGGGUGGGUGUUACCUGCUGUAUGUCUGUGUGCGUCUUGGUUGUGUGUGUGUGUGUGUGUGUGUGUGUGUGUGUGUGUGUGUGUUUGUGUCUGUGUGCGUGCGUGUGCGCGUCUGUGUGCCCACUUCUGUCUAUCUCUUACGUCUCUCUCUCUCUCUCCCCCCUCUCGCUCUUUCCGUCGCCCUCUCUUUCUAUCUCUGUCUGUCUGUGUGUGCGUGUGCCUUGGGACACAUGUGCCCCGUGCGCCGGAGGGUGGGUUUCUUGAAGGUCGGUCUUUCUUCUGGUCAGCCUCUCCCCGCGUCUCUGCCUCGGUCGUGUGGCCGGUUAGCAGUCGGUUUCCCGGCGGUUCCGGUUUGGGGGUCUGUGAGGGCCUGGGCAACGCCGGCAUCUGCUUCGGAACCUCAGGGGUUUUCGUCCACUCCCCAUCCGGAGCAGCCUCUUUGCUAGGCUAGAUCCAGACGACCGCUCCCCAAGCAAGGACAACGGCCUCCCAGGCGCUCAUUGUCCACCCGCAGGAGGGUGCCCGCAGACAUUCAAGAAGAUGGUUCUCACGCCUCUCGCCCUCUCCCUCAUGGAGAAAUGGAGCCACAGCUCGACGCAGGGACGGAGAAGGAAGCCGGCAAGGGGAUGGGGCAAGCAUCUCUGUCACUCAAAGGCUGGCCUUCCUGGCCGAGUCACCCGUCUGACACUCCUCCCCGGAUGCCCGUGGUGGUGGCAUGGCCCCGUAUCCUGCCUGGGCUCUGGCCUCUGCUCUGUCCUCCCUCUUGCUGUGUCUGCCCCGUCUCUGAGAAGCCUGGCGGCUUCUUAGUCUGGCUCAACGUCUUCAACAAAGAAGACUUCGCAGUCCAUCAGGGAGAAACCCCGUGGGCGUCCGUGUCAUGAUCGUUUCCCUCUCCACACCUCUUUCUGGAUGAUUGGGCAGGUGUGGUGAUCCUGGAGCUCUGGGCUUCCAUACCUGUGUGGGACAGGGAAGCUCUCUUGGUCUCCAUGGCCCAAGUGAUGGCUGCGCGCUCGGUCCAGGAAGAGGGGGAGGCAAGCCCACCGUUCCCCACAUU
rnacentral:lncRNA from 1 species